GUACACUCCUACGGGAGGCAGCAGUGGGGAAUAUUGGACAAUGGGCGCAAGCCUGAUCCAGCCAUGCCGCGUGAGUGAUGAAGGCCCUAGGGUUGUAAAGCUCUUUCACCGGUGAAGAUAAUGACGGUAACCGGAGAAGAAGCCCCGGCUAACUUCGUGCCAGCAGCCGCGGUAAUACGAAGGGGGCUAGCGUUGUUCGGAUUUACUGGGCGUAAAGCGCACGUAGGCGGACUAUUAAGUCAGGGGUGAAAUCCCGGGGCUCAACCCCGGAACUGCCUUUGAUACUGGUAGUCUUGAGUUCGAGAGAGGUGAGUGGAAUUCCGAGUGUAGAGGUGAAAUUCGUAGAUAUUCGGAGGAACACCAGUGGCGAAGGCGGCUCACUGGCUCGAUACUGACGCUGAGGUGCGAAAGCGUGGGGAGCAAACAGGAUUAGAUACCCGGGUAGUCCCAU
rnacentral:rRNA from 1 species